rnacentral:rRNA from 1 species
AGCGAACGCUGGCGGCAUGCCUAACACAUGCAAGUCGAGCGCCUGUAGCGAUACGGGAGCGGCGCACGGGUGAGUAACGCGUGGGAACCUGCCCUUAGGUUCGGGACAACCGCGGGAAACUGCGGCUGAUACCGGAUGAAGUCCCCGAUAGAGAUAUUGGGGCCCAAAGAUUUAUCGCCUUUGGAGGGGCCCGCGUCGGAUUAGGUAGUUGGUGGGGUAACGGCUCACCAAGCCUGUGAUCCGUAGCUGGUCUGAGAGGAUGAUCAGCCACACUGGGACUGAGACACGGCCCAGGCUCCUACGGGAGGCAGCAGUGGGGAGUAUUGGACAAUGGGGGCAACCCUGAUCCAGCAAUGCCGCGUGGGUGAUGAAGGCCUUCGGGUUGUAAAGCCCUUUCGGCGGGGACGAUGAUGACGGUACCCGCAGAAGAAGCCCCGGCUAACUUCGUGCCAGCAGCCGCGGUAACAC